ensembl:lincRNA
GGCGGCGGGGCGGCGGACGCCAUCGGCACAAAUCCCAGUGCCGGCGCAGAGGUGAGCCAGGGUGCUGGUGCCCCGGGACUAGAGUGUGUGCACACGUGCAUCGGUGUGUGCAAGGGCGGCGGGUGGGGCGCAGAUUUCUGCCUUCCCAAACCUUCCAAGGGCAGGUCAGGGUCCGGAAUGAGGUUUCUGCUCCGGUUGCUCCAGCCCUCAUGGAUUUGCGCAGAAACGAUUUGUGUGUCCCGGGGCAGAGCAGAACUGGAAGCGGGAGGCUGUCAGUUUCUCUGCAGAAGACUUUACAGUCUGCCCGGGGCUGACUGUCCAGGAAUCCCUGGGGCUGCCGCCACCACUUUCCCACCCCUGCGGUGCGGGACACCUCUGGCUAGCUGCACUGCAGGAGCGGGCUCAAUUCUGGCCCGCUGGGGCCUGAGGACCCGCCCAUGCUUGGAGCGGUCUUCCUCCGGCUGCUGCCGACUGCUGGCCGCUCCCACCCUCCUAGGCCUGGCUUUAGACCCACAGUUACUGUUGCAAAACCUUGGUUAAUACCGUGUAUUUUGUGGGGAGAGCUAGCCUGGGCCCGACCAGUGAGGCUUCAGACCCCUUCCCAGCACCAGGGUCCGAAGCAACCACGGUGGAACAAAGCCCAGGCUAUAGAAGGCUCAGACCUCGGGCAGACCAGGCCCUGUUCCUGGCGCUUCUCGGCUCUGCAACCCGAGCAGGGGGUGGAGCCAGGCCUCCCGCCCAACCAGGAGUGAGGCUGCUUGGUGCCUGCACAGAUACACUGGGCCAGGAGAGCACCAGCUGGGCCCCACUGGGCCCCACCCACCCUGCCCCCAUCUCCUCCAGAGCCCCCCCAGGAAAAGCCCGUCUGGACGAGGUCAUGGCUGCUGCAGCCCUUACAAGCCUGUCCACCAGCCCUCUCGGUCUGGGCAUCCCAGCUACAACCCCGUCUGCGAGGUCAUGUCUGCUGCAGCCCUUACAAGCCUGUCCACCAGCCCUCUCGGUCUGGGCAUCCCAGCUACAGCCUUCAGCCCAGAGCCUGGCCUGGAGCCCUGGAAGGAGGGUCUGGCGCAGCCACCAGGCAGCUACAGCAGCAGCAGUAACAAUGGAGACUGGGGUUGGGACCUGGCCAGUGACCAGUCCUCUCCAUCCACCCCAUCACCUCCACUGCCCCCUGAGACAGCCCACUUUCUGUUCGGGGAGCCCACCCUGAGGAAGAGGAAGAGCUCCAUCCAGGUCAUGUUCCAGUGCCUGUGGAAGAGCUGUGGAAAGGUGCUGAGCACAGCCUCCGGGAUGCAGAGACACAUCCGCCUGGUGCACCUGGGCAGGAGACAGGCAGAGCCGGAGCAGAGCGAUGGCGAGGAGGACUUCUACUAUACAGAGCUGGACGUUGGUGUGGAUACGCUGACCGACGGGCUGUCCAGCCUGACUCCUGUGUCCCCCACAGCCUCGGUGCCACCGGCCUUCCCCCAUCUGGAGCUGCCAGAGCUGCUCAAGCCCCCAGCCCUGCCCAGCCUACUACAGCCCCUGGCCCUGGCCAUGGCCCUGCCCCCCGUGCUCAGCUCUGUAGCCCCCCCACAGGUGUGCCACGGUGAUCACGCCUACCAGGUGGGUGAGGCCACAGGUGGUGUCUGGGAGCAGGUUUCAGGGCACUGUGGAGAUGAGCGAGGCCCAGGCUGCAGUUCUCCCCAGGACUGCAUGGCACCCAUCCACCUGGACCUGCGGGCCACUGAGGUCCAGGCCUGUGCACCAGCAUUGCCUUCCAAGCUUGGUGCCAAUCUAAGGAAGCCCCGUGGUGAUGCCAAGAAGUGCCGGAAGGUGUAUGGCAUGGACCACCGGGACCUGUGGUGCACAGCCUGUCGCUGGAAGAAAGCCUGCCAGCGGUUCCUGGACUGAGCCCACCCUCUGGUGCUGCUGCCCCGCUCCCAGCCAACCCCAGCCCCAGGCUGGACAACUCUGGGAGUGCUCCAGGUCCAGGCCUUUUCUGGCUAUAGGGUUUACUUUCUACUUUGGCAGGGACUCGGGAGUUGUUGAUCCUGGACUCCCAGAGAUGUGGGAGAGGUCCUGCCACUCAAAGUGCCUCUGAAGAAACCAGCUUUUUGCACUAAAGCCAAACCAUACCGCUGCCCCUUUGGCCCCAGGGGCACUGCUCUCCCUCCCUGGUAGCCCGCAGAUCUGUCAAGGAAGUCAGUGGGCCCAGCUGUAGGGGCCGGUCUGAGAUGCACUUUGAGGGGUGUCAGGGAGAGAACUCUUGCACCCACACAUUUAAUGUGAUGGUUCAAGGGCCCUGGGGCUGACAUUUUACCAUGUUUGUGAAGCUCAGGUGUCUCACGUCUGGGCCUUACCAGGUGAGAAGAAUUAAACAUUUGGGGUUUUUCCAGAAGCUGAGUCUGCCUCUUAGGGGGAAGUAAUGGGAUUUGUUUGGGCAGGGGUGGUAGGAGGCCAUUAAAAAGCCACAGGGCCUCAGGGUAACCUGGCCACCUCUGCCCACGGUGAGGCCAGGAGAGAGAGUGCUAUCUGAAACACACAGGAGGCACCUGCUUGGAGCAGCAACUUCCCAAUUUAUUGAAAGUGAUCGCUUUGCAAGAAUGUCUACGCUAAUCCCGUCACAGAAAGGAAACCCACAGGCAGGCCGCGAGCACACCUAGGCAGACAAGAAACUGCGAGACCCACGAGAGAAGAGAAGGUAAUCUUGACCUGUCCUGGGCUACAGCAAAGCAGGACAACAGAGCUGUGAUUUCCCACUGACUGAUUACAAAAAACCUCCUCCCCAAAUAUGAACACAUCUUCGAUACAAACACAGGUUUAUAAUAAUAUAAAGUCAGUAUAAUAUAGAUUAUCCUCAGAAAAGAUCAACAGUCUUCAAACACUGCCCUUUUUUGUCGAUUCUGUUUUUGUUGACAGGUUGAAAGCAUGUUGAAAAAAUAAAUAUUUAAGAAAAGCCCACACACAGCACCCUCACUACAAGUGGUUCUAAAAGGGCUGCAUACAAAACACAACAUAGGGUCUAAAAAAUAAAAGACAAUCACCAUUGAGUAUGGCUUUCUUAAGAGCUGCACGUCACAGAAGGAGCCAAAGUAAGAUUAUCUUUCAUAAUAUUGCAAAAAGUUCCAGUUUUUGCAUUUUCUCAGUUUUCUUUUUUAAAAAGGAAGAUGUGCAAAGUUGGAAGCAUAGCUGUGUCAUUUUGAGUCAGGUCCCUGUUGAGUCCUGGCAAUGUCCUGUUUCCCAAAACCCACAGAGUCCAAAUAUACAACCUGGUCAGGAGCCAGAACAUAGUACAAAAAUCAGACAGCUUCCCUGCCCCUCAGUAACACCCCCACGACUGUUUUCCACUUUGGUGUUGCAAACACCAAAAUACAAACAAAAUACAAAAUGUGAAAUGUAAUCUACACAUUUUUUCCUCUUCAUAAAAAAAUAUUUAUUUGAACAUUGAUUCUAAAAAAAUCAGUCACGUAAAACAAAACAAAAAAACCUUUAUAUGUGUCUUCCCUCCGUGCCUCCUGAGAGAUGGAUGUGUUCAUCUGGGUCUUGAAAUUCCACACUUCAAUUUGCAAACUGAUGGGAACAACAAACCUGCCACACAGCAAACACUCGGGAGGUGGGAUCAAGAUUUGGGACCCUCAGUUUCCGAUACAGGACUGGUCUGGAGGAAGUGCCUCCGUGGGAAGCCCGGGAAAGGCCAGCAGAGGUGGUCCACAGGGAGCAGUCGGAAAGAGCACGACACCCUGAGUCGGAGGCAAGGUGCCUUGGGGAAGUAAGCCAGGUCCGGGGCAGGACACCUGAGACGCUGGGGACUGGUACAAAAUCCAGAGACACUGGUAGCAAAGGUCUGGUUUCCAAAUGCAUUUUAUAAGAAAGACUGUUUAGAAAAGGUGUUUAAAAAGCAGGAGGAAAGAUACAAAGUUCACAGCCCUCGAAGGGGGCUGGCAAGGCUGCAGGGGGCUCAGCCUGGAGCCCCCUUGGUAGGGGUCGAGCUACGCUGCCCUGCUGAGACCUGUGCCCGGCACUGCCCACCACAGUAGGAGAGUAGGACUCUAGGAAGGACUCCAGCACUGAGGAGGGCACAGCCUAUCCGAGGGACAGCACAGCACACUCCAUACCAAGCUAGCAGGGGCUCUCCUGUAACUGGGAGAAAUAGUGGCCAACUUUGAAAAAACAAAAGCUUUGACUCCUCCCUCACGGCACAGGCCCCUAGGACAACACCACGUGCACAUGGGCCAGCCCUGUCCCCCUCAGCAGCAGCAGGUAAGGCAGCUGGCACUCAGGGAAUGUUUCUAGGGGCCCACUGGGACCUAAGUUCCCGGUUUUGGGGGAUUUUCCCUUUCCACCUAGAAAGCAUAGAGAUGACACAGUAAAAAAGUUGGUCAAAGCCGUUGGGCUUGUGGACUGGAAAAAGAAACUGGAACUCUCCAACUGGGCUAGCACUGGCGCCCCGCGAGCCCCACGGCGGGGAGAGUGCCUGAGGCGCUGCCCCUGCGCCGGAGAAGUCUCCGGGGUCUGUCCUGCGGGGUGAGGCGGGCGGACCUCCAGGACGCUCGAAAUGGGAGCCUCCACUUCGCACUCAGGAGAAACACAGAGCGUGGGGUGAGAUCGAUCAAAAAGCAAGGACUUGACAAGCUAAAUGAAAAACAACCCCAUAUAGUUUUGUCAAGUGAGAAAAAUAAUGGCAAACAAAAAUAAUUUUCUGUAACUACCUCAAUAUGUCUCUCUGACUACUUUAAAAUUUGGUUACCCAGGUGGGGAAGUGCAAGCGGCGCACUGCAGCUAGGAACACCCACCUGCGGUGUUAGCAGCAACAAAGGUGGAGCCUGGCUCCUGCCCGUCCCGGGAAGGGUCAGCAGGAGCCCCGGGCAGCGCUCAGGGUGGACAGGGGCCCGAGGCUCGCGAGGUCGCCC